GGCGGUUCUCAGGUGACGCACCCCAGAAUCGGGCUCCCUCCUUUCUGGUUCCUGGUGCAUCACCCAAGAACCACA
rfam:Myotis brandtii contig204261, whole genome shotgun sequence.